AUUGAACGCUGGCGGAAUGCUUUACACAUGCAAGUCGAACGGCAGCACGGAGAGCUUGCUCUCUGGUGGCGAGUGGCGAACGGGUGAGUAAUAUAUCGGAACGUAUCCAGUAAUGGGGGAUAACGAGUCGAAAGAUUCGCUAAUACCGCAUACGCCCUACGGGGGAAAGCAGGGGAUCGUAAGACCUUGCGUUAAUGGAGCGGCCGAUAUCUGAUUAGCUUGUUGGUGAGGUAAAGGCUCACCAAGGCGACGAUCAGUAGCUGGUUUGAGAGAACGACCAGCCACACUGGAACUGAGACACGGUCCAGACUCCUACGGGAGGCAGCAGUGGGGAAUUUUGGACAAUGGGGGCAACCCUGAUCCAGCCAUUCCGCGUGAGUGAAGAAGGCCUUCGGGUUGUAAAGCUCUUUCGCAAGGGAAGAAAACUUAUGAUCGAAUAAAUCAUGAGGUUGACGGUACCUUGAUAAGAAGCACCGGCUAACUACGUGCCAGCAGCCGCGGUAAUACGUAGGGUGCGAGCGUUAAUCGGAAUUACUGGGCGUAAAGCGUGCGCAGGCGGUUUUGUAAGUCGGAUGUGAAAUCCCCGGGCUCAACCUGGGAACUGCGUUCGAAACUGCAAGGCUAGAGUGUGUCAGAGGGGGGUAGAAUUCCACGUGUAGCAGUGAAAUGCGUAGAGAUGUGGAGGAAUACCAAUGGCGAAGGCAGCCCC
rnacentral:rRNA from 1 species